AUACUUUUCCAUUCACACCCAUCUCUGGGGAAUCCCUACCCAGGUUUUACCAAGGGUAUAACAUUUCCUUAGAGUUGACGGCAUAAACGUUUGUGAUGACACACAGGGGCCUAAUAAGGUUCGGCAACAUCCAUUCUCAGUAAGCCACACCCACCCUCGAGGGCCCACCCACAUGCAGGAGAGAAAGAUCAGGAGGGCUCAGUGGGCUUUAGAGAACUCACCCCAACAGGGAGCUGCGCCUUCUCAAUUUGUAUCGGACUGCCUGGAGGAGCUGUACGCUGUUUGAUUCCUGAAAAAGAUUCCAUCAUGCUGCAAAGUGGAUUGUAAAAGGCUAGUAAUGUAAACUUUGAGACACAUAAAAAGGAAAUAUGCAAGGGAUCGAGGAACUGAUCCCACGUCAACUGUGGGAACAUAUCGGAUUCUCGGUAUCAGCUAGAUGCGUGCUUUUUAUUACAUGCUAAGCAAAUAAAUGGCACAUCCUUCUGG